rnacentral:rRNA from 1 species
UACGUAGGGUGCAAGCGUUGUUCGGAAUCAUUGGGCGUAAAGCGCGUGUAGGUGGUUAAGUAAGUCAGAUGUGAAAGCCCUCGGCUCAACCGGGGAAGUGCAUCUGAAACUACUCAGCUAGAGGACGGUAGAGGAAGGUGGAAUUCCUAGUGUAGAGGUGAAAUUCGUAGAUAUUAGGAGGAAUACCGGCGGCGAAGGCGGCCUUCUGGGCCGUUCCUGACACUGAGACGCGAAAGCGUGGGGAGCAAACAGG